UAAUAGAGGACUUAAGACCCUAUAAAUUGUGCAUUAAUGUUAAUUAGUAUUCAACUUUCCUCCAACCAAAAAUUUGAGGAGGGUAUAAGUGAAAAUAUGGGUGGAACUUGUGUGAGAAGAAAUGUGUUGCUGAUGAUAAUUAUGAAUAUUGUAGUACUUGUAGUGCAGGCUGAUGAUCCUCCCGCUCCCUCUCUCCCUCGGCCCUCUUCCGUUUUUACUGUGCCUCACUUUCCCUCUCCCUGCUCUCAACAAGAUCAUACCCAUGAUUCGUACGACUGUUGGCAUAAGUGGAUCGUGCGUUGUGAUAAAAUCACACGUCGUCCCAAGGUGUUAACAAAAAUAAAAUGGGGACAGCGUAUGUUCAAAGGUUGUGUGCAUCUCGUAAAAAAAAUCUGUAAAAUUCCCUCAGAUCAUGAUAUUGCCUAUCAUUCUGCUGUUAAUUGUGUCAGAUUCCCAAGCAAAGCUGUUGGUUUUGAAACAGGGAAAGCAAAAGAUUACGUGGAAACGAGCUUCAACAAUUGCAACAAGAAUUGCUAGCUACCUUUUUCUCAAAGUUAUUUACUUUUAUGUAGUGAAAAAAUCAAUGCUUAUAUGGAAAAAUUAAAGGGCUAUUAGCCUAUGUCACGUGAGUAUAAUGUGAUUAUAUAUGAUGUGAAAAAUAACAUUUCUCUUUUAAUAAUAAAAGUCCUUCAAUUUUUGUCA